rnacentral:rRNA from 1 species
AACGAACGCUGGCGGCAUGCCUAACACAUGCAAGUCGAACGAGACCUUCGGGUCUAGUGGCGCACGGGUGCGUAACGCGUGGGAACCUGCCCUUAGGUUCGGAAUAACUCCCCGAAAGGGGUGCUAAUACCGGAUAAUGUCUUCGGACCAAAGAUUUAUCGCCUUUGGAUGGGCCCGCGUUGGAUUAGCUAGUUGGUAGGGUAAAAGCCUACCAAGGCGACGAUCCAUAGCUGGUCUGAGAGGAUGAUCAGCCACACUGGGACUGAGACACGGCCCAGACUCCUACGGGAGGCAGCAGUGGGGAAUAUUAGACAAUGGGCGAAAGCCUGAUCCAGCAAUGCCGCGUGAGUGAUGAAGGCCUUAGGGUUGUAAAGCUCUUUUACCCGGGAUGAUAAUGACGGUACCGGGAGAAUAGGCACCGGCUAACUCCGUG